rnacentral:rRNA from 1 species
CCCCUGACUCUGGGAUAAGCCCGGGAAACUGGGUCUAAUACCGGAUACGACACGCUUCCGCAUGGGAUGCGUGUGGAAAGUUUUUUCGGUCGGGGAUGGACUCGCGGCCUAUCAGCUUGUUGGUGGGGUAAUGGCCUACCAAGGCGACGACGGGUAGCCGGCCUGAGAGGGCGACCGGCCACACUGGGACUGAGACACGGCCCAGACUCCUACGGGAGGCAGCAGUGGGGAAUAUUGCGCAAUGGGCGGAAGCCUGACGCAGCGACGCCGCGUGGGGGAUGACGGCCUUCGGGUUGUAAACCUCUUUCAGCAGGGACGAAGUUGACGUGUACCUGCAGAAGAAGCGCCGGCUAACUACGUGCCA